CGUGCAGGACGCCCACCAGCAGACCCAGGUGGGCACAGGGUGGGCGCGGGGUGGGCGCAGGGCGGACACGGGCACCUGUCUCAUCACUGGUCACUGCUGCAGGCCCUCUGUGAGGAGAUCCGCGGGCGGCUGGGAGAGCUGGACGGUGCCCUGGAGAGCGGGCAGCGGGUCCUGGAGAUGGUGACAGGGGAGGAGGCCCAGCUGACGCAGGAGAAGAUGGAAUCGCUGAGGAUGAGGUACCUCAUCGUGGGCCAGAGCAGUGCUGACACCGCACACCGGCUGGGGCAGACCCUGGAGGCCUCGUCUCGCCUGGGCACGGCCCCUGAGGACCUGGCACUGUGGCUGAGCCGCAUGGAGAAGGAGCUGGGCGAGCAGGAGGGCCAGCAGGAUGGCCAGGAGCCCUCAGUCACUGCCAGUGACAAGGAGAAGUUUGAGCAGGUCCUGGAGUCCCAGCUCAGCCGUGUGGCUGGGCUGGGCGAGCGACUGGAGGAGAUCGGCCGCGUGCAGCUGGAUGCUGAGGCUCUGCGCUCGCAGCUCUCCGAGCAGAAGCUGCUCUCCGCCGAGAUCCUGCACUGCCGGGGCCUGGUUGAGCGUCUGCUGGGCUUCUCGGAGCCGCUGCUGCGCUGCUGCCCCGAGCCCCUGCGGCAGCGCCUUCAGCCGUCCGUGCAGGCGCUGCGGGAGCGCACGGAGCAGCUCUCCCUGCGCAGCGGCGCCUGUGCCGUGCAGCUGGAGCACGCCCAGUCCCUGCUCGCACAGUUCUCCGAGGCCCUCGAGGAGCUGCUGCCCUGGCUGGAGGAGACGCAGGCUCUGGGCGUGCAGCUCUCCCCCAACGCCAUCAGCUACGAGGCCUUCAAGGAGCAGCAGGCGCUGCUGCAGGUGCGGGCAGGGCAGGGGCAAAAGGGACAAAAGGGACUCGCUCGGCCGCCCCCAGGCUGGGAGAGGUGACGGGACGGGGGAGGCAUCGCCGUGGGCACCAUGGGGCUGGAGCGAACAGGAGUCCUGUGGGGGCAGCACCCAGCACACGUCCCUGUGGGGCACAGCCCGAGGGGCACAGCCCGUGGGGCACAUCCCGUGGGGCACAUCCCGUGGGGCACAUCCCUGUGGGGCACAUCCCGUGGGGCACAUCCCGUGGGGCACAGCCCUGCAGGGCACAUCCCGUGGGGCACAGCCCGUGGGGCACAUCCCAUGGGGCACAUCCCAUGGGGCUCAUCCCUGUGGGGCACAUCCCGUGGGGCACAGCCCUGUGGGGCACAUCCCGUG
rnacentral:lncRNA from 1 species